CUGCAGCCUAUUAAGCCGACCAGUCUUGCUGCAGUGCGCUUCUGGUGUGCAAAGGCUGCAGACAGUGACUCUUUGGUUGUGUAUGUCCUCAGCUGGGAGGUGCUGAGUGCUUUAAGGGACCACUGAGACAAAG
ensembl:snoRNA SNORA70 Small nucleolar RNA SNORA70